CACACUCCAAACGUCAGGUACAUGAAUUGGAACCCUAAACCUGAACCUACUCCUAACCCUAACCCUAAAACUAAGGCGCAGGACCAAAUCACCAUUCCCAGGCGGUUGACAAGUGACCUUAUCCCUCCCCGUCCCCACGAACUUACGCUAAUACUAACUUUCCAACCCACACUGGAAGACACAGGCAUUUCAAUUUCAAUGCUAUCUAUCACCCUGACCCUAACCCUAACCCUAGCCCUAACCCUACCAGAACAAUAAGUCAUCGUCAAGUACCACUCUUUCUGCACUAUCCAUGACCCUUCCAAAAAGAAGGACCCCAAUCCUAACAAUCAUGCCCACACUCCAAACGUCAGGUACAUGAAUUGGAACCCUAAACCUGAACCUACUCCUAACCCUAACCCUAACCCUAAGGCGCAGGACCAAAUCGCAGUACACAGGUGCUUCACAUGUGACCUUAUCCCUCCCCGUCCCCACGAACUUGCGCUAAUACUAACUUUCCAACCCACACUGGAAGACACAGGCAUUUCAAUUUCAAUGCUAUCUAUCACCCUGACCCUAACCCUAACCCUAGCCCUAACCCUACCAGAACAAUAAGUCAUCCUCAAG
rnacentral:lncRNA from 1 species